GGUAGCGGCAGUGUGCUACUGU
rnacentral:siRNA from 1 species